rnacentral:rRNA from 1 species
CCUACGGGUGGCUGCAGUGGGGAAUAUUGGACAAUGGGGGGAACCCUGAUCCAGCGACGCCGCGGGAGUGAAGAAGUAUUUCGGUAUGUAAAGCUCUAUCAGCAGGGAAGAAAGAAAUGACGGUACCUGACUAAGAAGCCACGGCUAACGAAGUGCCAGCAGCCGCGGUAAUACGUAGGGGGCAAGCGUUAUCCGGAUUUACUGGGUGUAAAGGGAGCGUAGACGGCGAUGCAAGUCUGAAGUGAAAGGCGGGGGGCCAACCCCCGGACUGCUUUGGAAACUGUAUGGCUGGAGUGCAGGGGAGGUAAGUGGAAUUCCUAGUGUAGCGGUGAAAUGCGUAGAUAUUAGGAGGAACACCAGUGGCGAAGGCGGCUUACUGGACUGUAACUGACGUUGAGGCUCGAAAGCGUGGGGAGCAAACAGGAGUCGAUACACUAGUAGUC